GAUGAACGCUGGCGGCGUGCCUAAUACAUGCAAGUCGAGCGAACGGACGAGAAGCUUGCUCUUCUGAUGUUAGCGGCGGACGGGUGAGUAACACGUGGAUAACCUACCUAUAUGACUGGGAUAACUUCGGGAAACCGGAGCUAAUACCGGAGAAUAUUUUGAACCGCAUGGUUCAAAAGUGAAAGACGGUCUUGCUGUCACUUAUAGAUGGAUCCGCGCUGCAUUAGCUAGUUGGUAAGGUAACGGCUUACCAAGGCAACGAUGCAUAGCCGACCUGAGAGGGUGAUCGGCCACACUGGAACUGAGACACGGUCCAGACUCCUACGGGAGGCAGCAGUAGGGAAUCUUCCGCAAUGGGCGAAAGCCUGACGGAGCAACGCCGCGUGAGUGAUGAAGGUCUUCGGAUCGUAAAACUCUGUUAUUAGGGAAGAACAUAUGUGUAAGUAACUGUGCACAUCUUGACGGUACCUAAUCAGAAAGCCACGGCUAACUACGUG
rnacentral:rRNA from 1 species